rnacentral:pre_miRNA from 11 species
AUUAUUGAGCAAAUACAUAUAUGCCUAGUUUUGGGAGAGGGGAUAUAUAUAUCCCCUCUCCCAAAACUAGGCAUAUAUAUAUCAUGCUAAGUUUCC